rnacentral:piRNA from 1 species
UAGGAACUGUUGGGUGCCGAGUCACU